UACGUAGGGGGCAAGCGUUAUCCGGAUUUACUGGGUGUAAAGGGAGCGUAGACGGCCAGACAAGUCUGAAGUGAAAAUCCAGCGCUUAACGUUGGAAGUGCUUUGGAAACUGCCGGGCUGGAGUGCAGGAGGGGCAGGCGGAAUUCCUAGUGUAGCGGUGAAAUGCGUAGAUAUUAGGAGGAACACAGUGGCGAAGGCGGCCUGCUGGACUGCAACUGACGUUGAGGCUCGAAGGCGUGGGGAGCAAACAGG
rnacentral:rRNA from 1 species